rnacentral:rRNA from 1 species
CUACGAGUUUGAUCAUGGCUCAGGAUGAACGCUAGCGGCAGGCUUAAUACAUGCAAGUCAAGGGGGUAGCAAUACAACCGGCGCACGGGUGAGUAACGCGUACACAACAUACCAUAUACUGGAGUAUAGCUUUGGGAAACUGAAGGUAAUCCUCCAUAACAUUGCGAGAGGGCAUCUGAUUGCAAUUAAAGUUUCGGCGGUAUAUGAUUGGUGUGCGUUUGAUUAGCUAGUUGGUAGGGUAACGGCCUACCAAGGCGACGAUCAAUAGCUGGCGUGAGAGCGCGACCAGCCACACUGGAACUGAGACACGGUCCAGACUCCUACGGGAGGCAGCAGUAGGGAAUAUUGGACAAUGGAGGAAACUCUGAUCCAGCCAUGCCGCGUGAUAGAUGAAGGCCCUCUGGGUUGUAAAUAUCUUUUAUCUGGGAAGAAACACUCCUAUUCUUAGGAACUUGACGGUACCAGAGGAAUAAGCACCGGCUAACUCCGUG